AGUGAACGUUGGCGGCGUGCCUAACACAUGCAAGUCGAACGAGAACCGAGUAGCUUGCUACUCGGGGAAAGUGGCGAACGGGUGAGUAACACGUGAGCAAUCUGCCCUUGAGUGAGGAAUAACCCCGCGAAAGCGGGGCUAAUACCGCAUGAGACUCUGGAGCAUAAGCUUUCAGAGUUAAAGCCUUCGGGCGUUUGAGGAUGAGCUUGCGUCCUAUUAGCUAGUUGGUAGGGUAAUGGCCUACCAAGGGUUAUGAUGGGUAGCCGGCCUGAGAGGGUGUCCGGCCACACUGGAACUGGGACACGGUCCAGACUCCUACGGGAGGCAGCAGUGGGGAAUUUUGCGCGAUGGGCGAAAGCCUGACGCAGCGACGCCGCGUGGAGGAUGAAGGCUUUCGGGUUGUAAACUCCUGUCAGAGGUGAAGAAAACCCCCUUCGGGGGGCUUGACGGUAACCUCAGAGGAAGCCCCGGCUAACUACGUG
rnacentral:rRNA from 1 species